UUUAGCUCUUCCCACAAUUCUGAGAAUGAGAGGAUCGUCAUGGAAGGGUUUGGGUGGAAAGGGACCUUACAGCCCCCCCAGUGCCACCCCCUGCCCUGGGCAGGGACACCUCCCACCAGCCCAGGUUGCUCCAAGCCCCCUCCAACCUGCCCUUGAACCCCUCCAGGGAUGGGGCAGCCACAGCUUCUCUGGGCAACCUGGGCCAGGCUCUCAACCCAUCCACCCACCUACCCAUCCACUCAUCCAUCUCCCCAUCCGUCUCCCCAUCCAUCCAUCCAUCCAUCCAUCCAUCCAUCCAUCCAUCCAUCUCUUUCCCCAUCUCUUUCCCCAUCCAUCCCUCUCCUCAUCCAGAGUCCCUCCCCAUCUCUCCUGGAGCCCCUUGAGGGACUGGAAAGGGCUCCAAGGUCUCCCCGGAGCCUUCUCUUCUCCAGGCUGAACCCCCCAACUCUCUCAGCCCCCCCUCCCAGCAGAGGGGCUCCAGCCCUCCCAGCAUCUCUGUGGCCUCCUCUGGCCCCAUCCAACAGCUCCAUGUCCUUCUGCUGUUGGUGUCCCCAGAGCUGGAGGCAGGACUCCAGGUGGGGUCUGGAGAAGGAAACCCUUGGUAGCUGCAGGGAUGGAGAGUUGUCUCUGCUGGCCCCGAGCUCUGCCGCAGCGAGGGGGGAGCUGCCAUCAAUCACCCCCCGGGGGUGCCAAGGGCCAGGGCCAUUUCUCCUGCCACGGUCUCUGCCUGGCAGGACAGAGCCAUCCUGGCACGAGCUGGUGGCCCCUGUGUCCCCCUGGCUGUGUCCCUCAGCCAGCCCGGGGGCUCUGCAGCCCAGAACAAACGAUGCUUGUGCCACCUCGGGUUCGUGCUGGUGGCAAUUUCAUUAAUUACUUCAGUUUCGGGGUGCGCUUGAGCAGCUUUGUCCCUCCACCCCCCUCUCCCAAGGUCAGUGCUUUUCCGAUGAGUCUUGGCAUGAGCUGCACUGGCUUCAGAUGAGGGAGAAGGAUCCUCCUUCCCUCCCCAGCCACUGGCAGCCCUCGGGGAAGGCUGACCUGCCAGACUGACCAUGAAAC
rnacentral:lncRNA from 1 species